CCCAGGACGAAUGCCAGAGUCUCACUUACCAUAGACCCUCGCUUUCGCUCUGUUCUUUCUCACACGAACUCAGAUGGAGCUUGAAGAGCCACUCACAGCAGAUCCCACAAGAGCAAAGACUCAGCACCAGCGCUACAGAAGUCACCGCGCUAUCUGCAGCGCCACACCAACGCCGGCCAUUAGGAAGCCGAUAAGGAUCCAGAUGAAGGAGGGAUUCUUCCCACAACCGAGGCUGAAUGCACCCUGCAGGCCGGCUGCCAGCCUACAGGAACAAUGUGAGCUUUGUUCCAGAAGCCUUGCACAGAUCGCCAGGCACCUCAGUCUCCAAGGAAACAGGUUCUCCUCCAUAUUUGCUGAGCUGGGCAACGGAGCUCACUUGAGAUAGCUUGUUCAAGCACAAGGGCUGCUCGGGCAAAAUCGGCGAGGCCAGGUGUGCCGCGUUGGAAAGUUUUUCAAGAAAUCCAUAUAUUCUGCCGAAAUAUGUCAAUAGUAGGAAUAUUUUCACAUGCACUGGCAGAGCGACCUUUGUUCUGUCGAAUUGAGUUCCUGCUUUGUCAAAAUAUAGUGUGACCUUUGUUCAGUGUCAAAAAAACUUAUUUCUGUCACAAAGGGUGAGUAAUACACCACAGUCACUCCGCAGACAAAAAAAGAACUGUGAAUGGCCAAUAAAAUGCCUAUAAUGCAAUCUCACCCACAAGAAAAGAUAAAAUCCCCCAUACUUCCAGUGGGUUUCGAUUUGGACACAUAUUUUAUUGUCCCUUAAGGACAAUGAGCUUUUGUGAGGAUCUUGAAGGCUGAACAUUAAUAUUUUUUCAGCAGAAACAUAAAAAAAAAAAAAAAAACACACACCAUGGCCUUAUGCUCUUUUACAUAGAGAAAACAAUUGUUCAUUGACCUUACAAAGCCUCUGUGAAAAUGUGUCGAUGGGAACAUUUUUGGGAGGAAUAGAGUAGAUUGCUCCCCUCCCUUUAUCUCAUUAUAUCUGUCAGCACCGUUCAUUGUUGAACAGUCUGCCUCCAGGUGGCUGGUAUGUGAACAAACGUAGAACAUGCAGAAAAUUAAUAAAGUGCAGAUACUUCCCUUAGUAUCUGUAACAUUCGUAUUUUAUAUAUACGUAUUUAAUAUACAUACAGCAAUUGUUAUUGCGUUGCGCUGUGCUUGUUCAUGUUCGUGUUUUGUGCACAUAUGAAUUGGUAACGGAUUGGACUUUUCUUUGUGUUUUUACUCUUCACGCCCCAUAAAUGAACCCAGAGAUUCCUGUUAAACCACAACAGGAAUUCCAUCGGCGCUCUGAUAAGGCACAAAUGAAACAUUGACUGCUGUGAUGAAAUACGCCAGAGGUCCUGUCCAAGAAGCAUGACAAAACCAAUAUCCAGAGCAGAAGAGACCUCACAUUGUCUCUCACGUUGAGCCAGGAAGGUUGAAGUUUUUUUUUUUCCAACAUUGUUCUGGCCGUAAGAACAUUAGAAGCACUUGAACAACAUAAGAAAUGACAAAUUGUUGCUUGUUGAAAAUUGCUUAUAAGAGAAGACUAUUUAUUUACAGAAGAAGGGCUGAACAGGGCCUACAUUUUCACAUCCUGUAUACAAGGAAGGGGCUGUCCACAGGAAACUUUCAGCAACUACAGAAACACUUGAAAAGCUUGAAGAGGACUCAUCAAUACAGAUGGUAAAAAAGGAUGCCUAAGCCAAACAUGGCCUGCUAAACUUAAUACACUGUGCAUGUUUUUUUAAUGGCGAAAAGACAAAACGUGCACAAUGCAACAGGUCACAGAAUAAAAACGAGAAACACUUGGCUCUAUGUCCGUCUUACUGGUGACUGUGAAAGAGUGAGAGAGACUGUAGUUCCUUUAAUAUCCAAAAGAGGUCGCUGUGUCCCCAUCUACGGUAUUAACAAACGCGUUUUUGGCCCUAAACGUGUGCCGUACGAGUAUUCCGUGGCUCUUCACAUUCGUGUUUGACUAUUUUCAAAGAGUAAGCAGUCCCCCAGAACAAUGUCAGCGACCCUUUCAUUUAUUUCUUUUACCUCUUCUUAAUUUAAAGACGUUUAUACGAGUGGCGACGAAUCUGUCCUUUUUUCCUAAACGACGAGCUGUCUGG
ensembl:lncRNA